AGGUGUCUAAACUGAUUGCUGAGCUUGCGGCUGCAGCUGCUGCAGAGAAAGGCCUAGUUUUUGAGAAUGCCAUGGAAGAUAGGCUCUGCGCUUACUCACGAGCAGUUGCGCACUUUCCAACAGCUGUCAAGGAGUUCAAAUGGAGAAACGUGUGGUUUUAUUCACUCUCUGAGAAGGCUAUUGCAGAAGGGAAACCGGAUCCAUGUACCAAUUAACAUACGGAACUGAUGUAGUAGAUAAGAACAGUGAAUCAAACACCAACAUUCGCUUAACAAGGGGGUAAGAUAUUGGUUGAAUUAUCACAGCUCCCUAAGCAAACUUUAUUAAACUAAAGAGCAAACUGAUGCAUGAACUAGGAAAAAAAACUAACACAAAUGAAUUGGAACGAGUCAACGUAACUAAGCCAAAAUCUCUUUAUGCUUACUGGAGAAUUAUACACAAAAAUGAACUUUUGGUUCAUGAGACAUAAAGGAAACAGGGGAACUAACUUAAAGAAAGGCAAGCUAGUGAAUACAUCAAGAGAGCAACAUUUGUUUCUGGAAACUCAAAGUGGAAAUAUGCUUAAACUGGAAAUUUUAAGCAUAACUUGAUAAAAAUCUAUAUAGAGAUUAACAUUUGUAUAACUCUAACAUGCUUGGAGAACAAAGAAAGUCACUCAUUGUAAUAUAUAAUUUCAUGUUUUUGGAACUAAAAUGCUCAAGGAAGAAGUAAAACGGGCUGAAACAUUAGGCAAUACUCAAUCUCAUACUAAUCUAAGCUUGAGCAUAAGCUAAAUCUCAUAACAUAAACUUAUUGAUGAAUGCAUGAGGAUUUCAUUAACAAUUACAAAAUUGGUAUUUAACCAAACAAACAUUUUCUAACGAGUUGAGCAUACUGGAAAAAAAAUAAACAGCAAAGGGAAAUAAACUCAUGCUUUUCACUCAAAUUUAAAGGAAGCUAAACAUCUAAACCUGUAAACUUAAUCAUGCUGAAUUCCUACAAAAAUCAGAACGACGCUAACAAACAUGAGAUCGAGUCCAUUAACUCAUACUCACACAGAAUUUAAAUAGGCAGAAAACUUAACUAGGAAAAUAGCUAAAAACGACACAGCCAAACAGAACCGGAAAAUUAAGAGAGAAGAAGGAGAAUUUAUGCUCAAACAAGAACUUAAACACUCAGAUUUUAACACACACUAAUUGACUAAUAAACCAACUGACUUUUAGUGAGAAAUGAAGAAAGGCUAAAUAUGGAAAAAAAAGUGCAGGAAAUGCUAAGUAACUCAUACUUUGCAAUGGAGAUGACAGGAGGAAAUAAAAUGGAAACUAACAAAGCAUUAAAUUAACUCAUGUUUUCUAUUCAAAUGGAGUAACAACAGCGACAUGAAAAUAGGAUAGACUAACCAGUGAACAUAUUCUCAUGUUAAAUAGCAGGUAAAACGUUCUAUUUCUACGGUCACGAAACAAAACACACAUUCACAUUUUAAUAUCUAACGAGCAUGAUCUCUGCUAGUAGACGAGAGACAGAGUCUCUUAAUAAUUUAUUCGAGCAUUUUAUUUCUUCAAAAGAAUAUGUAGACUAGGCUAAAAAAAAUAACUGGCAACAUAUUCUUGCAUCUUCAACACACAACAGUGGACAAAACAGAAAUGCUCCUGUUGGGAAACCAAUGUACUCCAAUGGGGAAGAAACUGGACAUUCUAAUCCUAUGGGUGGACAACAACUUAACUCUGUUGGUGGGAAUAUGCUUGCUGUUAAAGCCGAAAUAUUUCCCGACGCAGACUAUCAGAAUACCAUUUUCCCGGAGCAAUUUGGACAGGAUGACCUCAUGAGUGCCUUCCUAAAACAGCAAGGAAGUGUUGGACCAGUGGAAACUAAAAAAAAUCGAGUAAGAAACCCAGUUCACUAACACUGAUUUCAAAUCACAGAGUACAGAAAAAAUCGAGUAAGAAACCCAGUUCACUAACACUGAUUUCAAAUCACAGAAUAUAAAGAAUGUUGAGUUCUUCAAGCUUUUUCUCACAUGCAAUGAAUUAAAAUAAACUUUAACCACCAAAUAAUAUUAUCCUACAAGGUUUAGCACAAACAAAGGUCGAAUUUCCAUUUUCAUCAGAUUUUGGCCCAAAUAGAGAUUCCCAACACUUAACCUUCAAAUAAAUUAUAAACCCAACAGUUUUCAAGACACCCACCUUCAA